ensembl:lncRNA
CUUAGUAUGCAGGAUCUUGAUUCCCUGACAAGGGAUUGAACUUGGACCAUGACAGUGAAAGGGCUGAAUCCUAAUCAUUAGAUCACCAAGGAACUCAGUAUUAGGAGGAUUUUUGCAGGUUGCGAACAAAGCUAGUGGAGGUGAUGGAAUUCCAGUUGAGCUAUUUGAAAUCCUGAAAGAUGAUGCUGUGAAAGUGCUGAACUCAAUAUGCCAGCAACUUUGAAAAACUCAGCAGUGGCCACAGGACCAGAAAAGGCUUCAGCAAUAUGUGAACUGUGAACUUCCAGAUGCUCAAGCUGGUUUUAGAAAAGGCAGAGGAACCAGAGAUCAAAUUGCCAACAUUCGCUGGAUCAUGGAAAAAGCAAGAGAGUUCCAGAAAAACAUCUAUUUCUGCUUUAUUGACUAUGCCAAAGCCUUUGACUGUGUGGAUCACAAUAAACUGUG